rnacentral:misc_RNA from 1 species
CAACCAUCUUGCCCUCAAGUGCAGCCGGCAGGCCUUGAGUCUCGCACUUAUAGAUAGACGCUGUUUCCUUAUCAGAGACACCACGUGUCGGGGGACUUCCAUCCGCUGGCUGUUGCGUGCGUUGUCUCAGUAUUACGCCAUUCCGUCGGGCAGGACCAUGUUGCGCGUAUCACAGGUCGUUCUGUGCGUAACCGUCUACGUCGUUGCCAGUGCGGCGAACCCUGGCAGUGCGGUGGACAUCGGCACACCGGAGGUCCCUGUCCCGCUGGCGCAGCCUGGAGACUUUACUUCGGGAGCCCUGGGAAGACCACUGCGAAUCUUGGCCGUCAUGACAGUCGACACCAUGAGCCACCACUUGUGGAUGGCGCCGUUGACGGUGGAGCUUGCCAAGCGCGGCCAUCACGUCACUUCCCUGGAUGUGGCCAUGCCUAAAGAGGUUCCGCCAACGCUGAAUGUGACGGUCAUCGAGACGGCAUUCCCCAAGAUGGAUUCCAAGUGGCUGCGACACUUCCAAGAGUCCGGUUCGCUGGAGCAGAUGGCUAUACUGCACAAGUUUGACUUGGACGAGUGUGCCCUAGAUCUGUCAGCCCCUGCCUUCCGCCGAAUCUUGGACCCAUCAUUUAAGGACACGUUCGACCUAAUCGUGCUGGACUACGUCAGCGACUGCCAACUGGGUUUGGCGCACCGUUUCGGCUACCCGGGUUUUGUGGUUGUGUCGCCGUUCCCCGGUUCGCCCUGGCUCUACGACCUGAUGGGCAACCCGGCCGUCCCGGCGGUGGUCUGCAACACCCUGGUGCCCUUCCCGCACCCCAUGAGCCUGUGGCAGCGCGCGGCCACGGCCGGGCUCAGCGCCUACAUGAAGCUGCUCGAGUGGUACUUCCGCGGGGAGGUGGACGAGGUGCUGCGAACGCACUACGGCCAGGACGUGCCGAGCGCAGCGGAGCUGCGGAGGCACGUCCACAUCGCCCUGGUCAACGACAUCCCCGUCCUGGACACGCCGCAGGCCUACGUGCCCUCCGUCGUCCCGGUCGGCGGCAUGCACGUGCGGCCCGCCAACCUCAGCAACAUCCCGCCGGGCUUGGCAGACUGGUUGGACGAAGCCGAGAACGGCUUCGUGCUCAUGUCUUUCGGGUCCGUCUUGAAAGGCUCAAAUUUAGAGAGCGAGACGAUACGCGCUUUCGUGGAGGCCUUUCAAGAACUAAGUGACGUGCGUAUUCUCUGGAAAAUGGAACCGGAAGUGGUGGGCAAAGCGUCUCUGCCUUCCAACGUCCGCAUUGAGAAGUGGAUGCCUCAAAGCGAUAUCCUAGGUACCGAGACGCAGCGCUCCGGACCUCCGCGCUACUGCGCGACCGCCAAAACUCGCCCCUGGAGACGGCAGUGUGGUGGUGCGAGUACGUGGCGAGGCACCGCGGGGCGCCCCACCUCCGCAGCCCCGCCCUCGACGUGCCCUGGCCGCAAGCCAUGCUGCUGGACGUCGUGGCCCUCGCCACGCUGGCGGUCCUUGCCGUGGGGACUGCGGUGGCGCUGCUCGUCAGGACGUGCCUGAGGCGCCUGUUCCGUCAAACGGAGAUAGAGACCUCUGCAGGGACGAAGAAGAAGACGAACUGAUUUUUAGGGGCCCCUGCACUGUGGCAAACGGUCCCAGCGAAGUGAUUUCUCAGAACAUAUGGUGCAAGAGUUGCAAGAAACCCGUGGCUGAAAAGUGCGUAGACGACGAACACUCGGUGUGCAGUAUGAAGAGGGCCCGAUUGGAGAAAGCCCAGCAGCUGCUG